UACGGAGGGUGCAAGCGUUGUCCGGAAUCACUGGGCGUAAAGGGCGCGUAGGCGGCCGUGUAAGUCACCUGUGAAAUCCCGGGGCUCAACUCCGGGGCUGCAGGUGAGACUGCGUGGCUAGAGCACGGUAGAGGCGAGUGGAAUUCCCGGUGUAGCGGUGGAAUGCGUAGAUAUCGGGAAGAACACCGGUGGCGAAGGCGGCUCGCUGGGCCGUUGCUGACGCUGAGGCGCGAAAGCGUGGGGAGCAAACAGG
rnacentral:rRNA from 1 species